rnacentral:rRNA from 1 species
UACGUAGGGGGCAAGCGUUGUCCGGAUUUAUUGGGCGUAAAGAGCGUGUAGGCGGCCAGGUAGGUCAGCUGUGAAAACUCGAGGCUCAACCUCGAGACGUCGAUGGAAACCGUCUGGCUAGAGUCCGGAAGAGGAGAGUGGAAUUCCUGGUGUAGCGGUGAAAUGCGCAGAUAUCAGGAAGAACACCCGUGGCGAAGGCGGCUCUCUGGGACGGUACUGACGCUGAGACGCGAAAGCGUGGGGAGCGAACAGG